UACGAAGGGGGCAAGCGUUGUUCGGAUUUACUGGGCGUAAAGGGCGCGUAGGCGGUUUAACAAGUUAGGCGUGAAAGUCCUGGGCUUAACCUAGGGACUGCGUUUGAUACUGUUAGGCUUGAAUGUGAGAGAGGAUGGCGGAAUUCCCAGUGUAGAGGUGAAAUUCGUAGAUAUUGGGAAGAACACCGGUGGCGAAGGCGGCCAUCUGGCUCAUGAUUGACGCUGAGGCGCGAAAGCGUGGGGAGCAAACAGG
rnacentral:rRNA from 1 species